GAAAGGUCUUUGGUUUAAAGUUCUGGGGCCACGAGGGGUCUGCGGCCAUCAGGUAGUACGGGUGUAAGGUACAAUCGCUACGACCGGUAAGGGUUGUGAGAGCAAGAGCCCUGAGAAAGAUUUUGGAACAUGAUUCCAGGCCUUACGGGGUGCAGGCGCGAAAACUUUACACUGCGGGAAACCGCGAUAAGGGGACCCCGAGUGCCAGCACCUAGUGCUGGCUGUCCAGCUGUUCAAAAAACAGUUGUUAGCAAGGGCCGGGCAAGACCGGUGCCAGCCGCCGCGGUAACACCGGCGGCCCGAGUGGUAGCCGUUAUUAUUGGGUUUAAAGGGUCCGUAGCCGGCUUAUUAAGUCUCUUGGGAAAUCUGGCGACUCAAUCGUCAGGCGUUCAAGAGAUACUGGUAGGCUUGGGACCGGGAGAGGUGGGAGGUACUCCAGGGGUAGGGGUGAAAUCUCGUAAUCCUUGGGGGACCACCGAUGGCGAAGGCAUCCCACCAGAACGGGUCCGACGGUGAGGGACGAAAGCUGGGGGCACGAACCGGAUUAGAUACCCGGGUAGUCCCAGCUGUAAACGAUGCUCGCUAGGUGUCAGGUGCGGUGCGACCGCAUUUGGUGCCGUAGUGAAAACUUGAAGCGAGUCACCUGGGAAGUACGGUCGCAAGGCUGAAACUUAAAGGAAUUGGCGGGGGAGCAC
rnacentral:rRNA from 1 species